rnacentral:rRNA from 1 species
UACGUAGGCGGAAAAUUAAGUCAGUAGUGAAAUCCUGCAGCUUAACUGUAGAACUGUUAUUGAUACUGGUUUUCUUGAAUAUAGUUGAGGUAGGCGGAAUGUGUAAUGUAGCGGUGAAAUGCUUAGAUAUUACACAGAACACCGAUUGCGAAGGCAGCUUACUAAGCUAUGAUUGACGCUGAGGUACGAAAGCGUGGGGCACGAACAGGAUUAGAUACCCUGGUAGUCC